GCUCCUGAGUAGCUGGGAUUACAGGCACCUGCCACCACUCCCAGCUAAUUUUUGUAUUUUUUAAUUAGAGGCAGGGUUUCACCUGUUGGCCAGGCUGGUCUCGAACUCCUGACCUCAGGUGAUCCGCCUGCCUUGGCCUCCCAAAGUGCUGGGAUUACAGGCGUGAGCCACCAUUCCUGGCCCACAUUUUCUUUAUUUACUCGUUGAUCGAUGGACAUUUAGACUGGUUCCAUAUUUUUGCAAUUGCGAAUUGUGCUGCUAGAAACGUGUGUGCAAGUGUCUUUUACAUAUAAUGACUUGUUUUCCUCUAAGUAGAUACCCAUAGUGGGAUUGCUGGAUCAAGUGGUAGUUCUAUUUUUAGUUCUUUAAGGAAUCUCCAUACUGUUUUCCAUAGUGGUUGUACUAGUUUACCUUCCCCCACCAGCAGCAACACUGUAUUUUUCAAGUGCAAAAGGGAAACAACCUACACAUCCAGGAGCUGUGGAAUUGCAAGCAAGCCGGGGUCACGCAGCCUUGCUUCCAGGUGGAAACAAACCCUGGAAGGAAGCAUACAUGGGUUGGAAACACGUGAAGAUGACAUCAUCUUUUUGGCACUUCCCAGGCCCCUUCCUCUGUGGAGUGGCCUGUCUACAGGUGUCUGUAAAAGAGACGGCAUGAUGCUGUGAUAUGGGCUGGAACAAUGGACUGAGAUUCCAGAUUUUCUCAUGUCCCUUGUCAGGGCUGUAGUUUCUCUGAUUAUAGGAGAAGAAAGUUCAAGAUCUCCCAGUUGCCCUCUGAGGAAGCUGGAAAUGGUCAAAUAUUGCCACCUGCUGGCAAGUUCCAGCUCUGCCUGGCUUCCAUCAGAAGAGGGUGUAUGUUCCCAGAGACAGGUCUUACUUCAAGCUCACUAGAGGAAGGGGCCCCAAGGGAUACUGUUCAAAUGACUACCUGGAACACCCCCUUCCUCCACAAAAAGUCCCCUUAAGACCUCUCUCAGUGUCUGGAAUUCCUCUAUAACGGUUGAGGAUUGUUUGUUUUUAUACGAGAGAAAAUAAGGAGAUUCUAACGACUUGGCAUGAAACAGAUUAUUUUCUACUAUGAGGUCUCAGCAAUGGGAGGCCGAGUUGUAGGAUGGCAGGGGCCCCUGUGAGAAGCAUAGGCCCGAAAACAGCUGAAUUAGAAAAAGCAGGGUAGUACAGUGCUUUCCAGUACAGCCUUUACAUUUAAAAGAAAAUGAACGAAAAAGUCCCUGGGCUUCUGGGGUCCACCGUAUUCUAGCUCAGUGACUGUGAACCAUUUAUUUAUUUUUUUGUCUGAGUUUCUGUUAGCUUAGUUAUAAUAAUGAGUAUUAUAAAAGUAUCCACCUUGCAAGAUUGUUAUGGAAUGCACUGAUAUGACAACAGAUCAUUUAGUAGCAACUAGCACAUAAUAAUGAGAAUAAAUAUAAGCAUUACUACUACUAUUAAUUUAAUGGAUGAAGUCCUGGCCUGUUCAUCAUAAGAGGUGAGAGCUAGUUCUAGCUGGGUUCUAUUACCUUGCUCUUGAGUUUUGUUUGUUUCUAUAUGUACAGAGAGGGGAAUGAGAAUGAAUUAUGUCUUAAGAUUCUUUUUGUGUUCAUACAUGAUGAUUCUGAGUCUCUAACCAUCUAAGAGUCCAUUUCCCGGUUGAAGGGUCUGUUUCAAGAUUCUAUGACUCUGAGACCCUCUUUCUGGAAUUCCAGAAUUCUAUAACUCACUCAGAAUUCUACCGAAAGCUUCCAUUUGCACAAGUUAUUCCCUCUGCCUGGAAUGAAAGUUCUUCCAAGCCUGGAAGAGGUUGCCUCACUAGCUCUUACUGCAUAUUUCGCCUUAAACAGCACUUCUCAAAAAUUCCUUUUUAAUUCAUCCUCCAAUGUUUUUUAUUUUUAUUUUAUUCUGUUUCAUUUUUUGUGAGACAGAGUCUCAUUCUGUUGCCCAGUCUGGAGAGCAGUGGCAUGAUCAACCUCCAUCUCCUGGGCUCAAACCAUCCUCCUACCUCAGCCUCCUGAGGAGCUGGGACUAUAGGCAUAUGCCACCACACCCAACUAAUUUUUGUAUUUUUUGUAGAGAUGAGGUUUUGCCAUGUUGCCCAGGAUGGUCUUGACCUCAGGGGCUCAAAUAAUCUGCUUGCCUCACAAAGUGCUGGGAUUAUAGGUGUGAGUCACUGUGCCCAGCCCUCCACUGUCCUUUUUAUUUAUUUAUUUAAUUUUUGUUUCUUUAUUUAUUGGUAGAGAUGGGGUUUUGCCAUGUUGCCCAGGCUGGUCUUGAACUCCUGAGCUCAAGCUACCUGCCCGCCUCGUCCUCCCAAAGUGUUAGGAUUACAGGCAUGAGCCACCGCGCUCGGCAUCUCGAUGUUCCUUUACGCAUCCCUUCCCAUCGUCUGUCCUAAAAUUCUGUUUUUUUCCAUGAUCAUACAGAUCUUAAUUGGUAAUUAUAUUUUUAUUUAUAUGAUUUUGGUUAAUGCUUGUCUUCUUUACGUUCCCAUUGCUUGGUAAAGUAGAUAAUAACUAUUAGAUGAAUGAAAAUUAAAUGAAUGAAUGAAUUCUACAAUUCAAAGUUUCCAUGAGUGUUUAUUCCCAAGGUCUUCUAUUUCAAACACUCCAUACCACCUGCCCCACCUCAAGGUUGACACCUGAGAAGGGAGUGACCUUUCCAAUUUCAUAAUGUUGCCUGGACCGUGUGUGCCCUGCCCGCUUGGUUUCCUACCCCUCCGUUAUUGGCCUCUUUGGGAUGCCUUGGAUUAGAAGAGAAGGCUGAGCCAUGUCUCUGCUAUUGAAACCAGCCUGUAUCAGCUAUUCAUUCACAGCAUGUAUUUGUCUAGUGCCCACAAAGUGCCAGGUGCUGUGCUAAGGUACUGGGGACAAAGCAUGAGCAAAGCAGACCUGGUCCCAGCUUUUGGAGAGCUCAGAGCCUACGAGCCCAGAGACAGACAUUCACGACUCAAUUACACAAAUUCCAUAAAAUUACAAACCAUGAUAAGUGCUGGGGGACGGAGAGGAACAGGGCGCUCUGAGAGCGUACAACAGUUCACAGUCUAGACCCAGGACCUUGGGCUCAAGGGCACAACGGGGCCUUGGGCGGGUCCUGCAUGAGCGUUAUCUGGGACACGUGGAUACUCUUUUUGUGGAAUCUCUGCCCUGGGAAACCAUCAGCUAGAACUUGGGUUCAAGGUGGUGGCCUGCCAAGCUCCCAGCACUUUCCUUGAGAUUCAUAAGCCUGUGAGGCUGGAAGCUAAGCAAUCACCUCUCAAAGCCCUUCCCCUCCUUUUCAGUGGACUUGGUCACUGAAAAGAGAAUGGUAAAGCCCUGGAAGGCCAGAACUCUAGGCGCCCGACACCCUCCUUGAACAGGCCGGGAAACUGGGGCCUAAUGAGAAGAGGCUGUGCAAGGUCACACAGCAAGGAGCAAAGCGAUAACGAGAACCCAAGCUCCCCAGCGUCCCAUUCUCUGCUGCUUUCUACCCUACCUCCCUAGUUCCAAGAAUGGUCAUUGAUUUUAUAGAGGGAAUACUGUUUCAACCAGAACCUGGGAGGGUUUCCACUGGCUACAAGCAAUAGUUAGGACAUAGACAAAAUUCUGCAGGAGAGCAAGAAUCUUACAGCUACAUUUGGAGAGGUUUGCCCUGUGGUGGUUACUUAGGACACAAACACACAUGAGGGAAAAUACAUCAGGUGACAUGUUUGGAUUGAAUAGCAUUCUUUCAUUUUCUUGAAGGAAAAUGUAGCUAUUUGAGCCUUGAAAUGCUAGUUCUUGCAUUUUGCAGUGUUGUUUCCAGUAGCAAAAAACUGAAACAAUCUAAAUUUCCUUUGGCAAAGGAAUGGAUAAACUGUGGUAAAGCUCAACCUUAGAGUACAAUGCAGCAUUUAAAAAAUAAUGAAGGUUGAGACCAGGAGCUUGAGACCAGCAUGGGCAACAGCCUGGGCAACAUAGUGAGACUCAGUUGCUCCAAAAAAAAAAAAAAAAAAAAAAAAUCCAGGUCUGGUGGUGUGCACUUAUGGUCCCAAUACUCAGGAAGCUGAAGUGGGAGGAUUGCUUGAACCCAGGAGAUUGGGGCUGCAGUGAGCUGGGAUUGCACCACUGUACUCCAGCCUGGGUAGCAUGGUGAAACCCUGUUCAAAAAGAAAAAAAA
rnacentral:lncRNA from 1 species